AAGAAAAAAAAAAAAAAAAAGAAACUUUGCUAUUGCUGUGGUUGUUCGCAUUCCUUUUGUUAAGAAGAUUUUGGAACUGCUUCAUAGUUUAAUGAAAAUAAAGAAACUAGCUAUGGCCGGAUCUCAUCCUCUAGUCAAUCAGAUUUUGGAGCCAAACAUCUUCUUCUUUGCAAAAGACGGCAUGCAGAAGGCAGCAGUAUGGACCUCUGAGUUGUAAAAUAGGGGAGGUCCUUUGGCUACACCAUAAUUCUCAGGAUUCAAUGGAUUUACAGGGUGUAUGAAGUCGACCGGUGGACCCUCGGUGGAGCAAAGCAUGAAACCAAUCAUCCCACUGAAAUGAAACGCUACUCAGUAAUUAAUCACCUCCACGAUAUAAUGAUAAGCAGAUAGAAAAGAAAAGACAUAAAAAAAAAAUCAAGAGGCACGCCUGGCAUAUGCAGGAGUUGUGCACCAGGCGUAGCUAACAGAGCCUUUGAAUGCCUCGCGGCAUUUUGCUAUGCAAUCUGAAAGUGAAAAUUCUGUGUGCCACAAGCUUUCCGCUGGGCAACACAUGACUCCUCCUGGGCGAAGAGCCUUCGCCACCGAUUCUAGGAAGCACUUAUCGCCUGCUUCUUUUUCAUCAGGCCCUGCGUAUAUGAUAUUGAAUGUAUUUGAAAUCUGUGAGGAUGUGAAAAUCGAAGUUUUCAAACUUUGUGAGCCAGUUCAGCUGGAGAUUCAAAUAUUGUUAGAAUUAAUUUGUAUCGAGAAAUGAAGAAAAAUAGCUCAAAAAAGUUCAUGUGUACUGAGCAUAUGCAAUAAUAUCACCUUAAUAUAGAUUACUGUAAUAGAUGAAAUGAAAUCACUAACAGGGAGAGAAAUACCCACGCACUGGAAUGCGUCCAAUAUGAUUGCAUCGUAAGUAACCUGAGCCUGAGGAACAUUUUUCAGGAAUUCAACUCCGUCGCCUAUAUGCAGAUUGACUCGGGGAUCCUCGUAUCCAAUUGCUAUGUCAGGGAAGAACCGCUUGUAGGCCUUAGAUAGGAAUGGUGAGAUACAUAAUUCACUUACGUCAAUCACCAUUUUGUCAAUUUCACAUAUGUCAAUCCGAUCAACGGAGGAAUGGCGAGAUAUUUCUCUCAGAAUUCCACCAUCUCCCCCUCCAAUUAGCAAUACCUUCUUUGGGUUUGGAAUGGAGCAAAGCGGAAGGUGGGUGAGCAUUUCUUGGUAAACAAACUCAUCUUUCUCUGUGAGUUGAAGAUCCCCAUCCAAGAUCACAAUCUUGCCAUGCCCUGAUGACUGAAAUACAAUAAGAUCCUGAUGUUCUGACUUGUCAUGAAAGAGGACUUUUUCCACCUUGUACAAGUGUGCCUCUCCUGGCCAUCCUUGAGAAGCAUCAGCAUACCAUCCUGGAAUGUUAAGAGAAACACCAUUAUGGUUCUCCAUUUCAAGAAUAGGUGGUGAAGACAAGAGAUGAGUGGUGAUCUGAUCUAGGUCUUGUGCAUGUAUUGUGGGAGAUUCAUGAGCAGAAGCAAAACCAUUUUCUGCAGCCAUUGAUUCUCUCCUUUAUUUGGUCUUUAUCACUACUGGAGCUGAUAAGAGAAUAUGUAUAAACUGUGAAGGACAAAGCUUAUGCAUGUGGCUAUAAAUAGGAAACAAUGGCCAAUUGAACCACAAGUAGAAAUGCAUGUGGCCCCUGCAUGAUCAUUUGUCAAGUUUUGUCUCCGUAGUUGAAUGUAUGCCGGGUCCUCAAUCUUUUCAGGUCAAGACUCCAGAUUCAUGAUUUCGGAUUCUUCAGGAUUAGAUCAAAUUUAAAAUCUCUUGGAUUAUUGAUUUCCUUUUCCUCUCUUCUUUUUUAUUAAUUCAAUACUAUGCUAUGCUUUUCCUAUCACACGUCUCUGCAGAUUUGUGUCUCAAGUCCGCUUGUAGAAUUCAUAUGAUCAUCAUCAAUAUAAG
rnacentral:misc_RNA from 1 species